UACUCAUUAAUAAGAAGGGCGUAUGGAGGAUGCCUUGACACUAAAAGACGAUGAAGGAAGUGGCGUGACUGCUUUAAGCUUCGGGGAGCCGUCUAGCAGGCUUUGAUCCGGAGAUAUCCGAAUGGGGAAACCCAAUUGCGUAAACCGCAAUUAUUCUGUCCGCCAGCUGGCGGACGGGAAGUAUACCUGGCGAAGUGAAACAUCUCAGUAGCCAGAGGAAAAGAAAUAGAAUAGAUACCCUUAGUAGCGGCGAGCGAAAAGGGCAUAGCCUAAACUUGUUUUUAGUUAGUUUACUAAUUAGAGAUGAGGGUAAUAGGGAUAAGACAAUUGAAUUUUUAACUUCGAGCCAUGAAGUGGUCGGAGUUAAAAAUUUGAAAGAAGUUACAAAUUGGAUUGUUAGCAGAACGGCCCUGGAAAGGCCGGCCAAAGAAGGUGAUAGCCCCGUAAGCGAAAACAAAUCCAACUUCUGUUUUAUUGGAGCGCAAGCUUCUUGACCUGAGUAGCCCAGGAUAAGAAUGUCCGGGGUGAAUUUGUCCAUACUACUGGAUAAGGCUAAAUACUUUUAGUGAUCGAUAGUGAACAAGUACCGUGAGGGAAAGGUGAAAAGCACCCCGGUUAGGGGAGUGAAAUAGUAACUGAAACCAUAUGCCUACAAAGAGCAGAAGGCUCAUGCGUCGCAAGAUGUGUGUGGCUGACUGUGUGCCUAUUGAAGAAUGACCCAACGAGUUUAUCUAAAUUGCUACUAUAAGUUCCUAUGGAACGAAUGGAUAGGGAAACCGAGUGUUAAUAGCGCGAAUUCCAACUCAAAUUUUUGGACUUAAAUAAUAAAAAAAACGACCCCAACCAUGAAGUUGAGGGUCGAGUACGAACAGGGGGUGAUCACUAGCUGGGUCCCCAACCGCCUCGUUGGAGUAUGACCAGGCUCCCCGUCCGUACUCCAGGCUAUAUCAAGUAUAGCAUACUUGAUGUUAUUUUGUCAAGAGUCUAAAAAUUUGAGUUGGAAGUGCAGUUUGGAUAAGACCCGAAGCCAGGCGAGCUAACCAUGUCCAGGGUGAAGCUUUUCGAAAGAAAAGUGGAGGCCCGAACCGGUUGAUUGCGCAAUAUCAUCGGAUGAGGUGUGGUUGGAAGUGAAAAGCUUAUCGAGCUUGGUAAUAGCUGGUUCUCCCCGAAAUGCGUUUUGGCGCAGCGGCGGAUUGUAAUUGAGGGGGUAGAGCACUGAUUGGUUUGCCGUGCCCUUAUGGGUAGGUUUACCAAACAAACUCCGAAUACCUCAAUGUAAUUUCCGCCAGUGAGUACGCGAGGGCAAAGCUUCGUGUACGCGAGGGAAAGAGCCCAGAUCACAAAUUAAGGUCCCUAAAUUUAUGCUAAGUGUGAAAGGAAGUAUUUUGCCUUAGACAGGUAGGAGGUUGGCUUAGAAGCAGCCAUCCUUUAAAGAGUGCGUAACAGCUCACUACUCGAUCCGUCUUCGGAUGGAAGGCAAGAUGCGCCGAAAAUGUAACGGGGCUAAGCAUAGUACCGAAAUUGUGGAUUCGGUCGCCUUUUGGGCGACCGAGUGGUAGGGGAGCAUUCCUAAUGCAGCGAAGGCCGACUGUGAAGUCGACUGGAGCGUUAGGAAGGGAGAAUGUUGGGAUGAGUAACCGCAAGUCUUGUGA
rnacentral:rRNA from 1 species